UGGACAGCGCUCGGGCGGUUGGCGACACUAGGAUGUGACUGGAGCAGAGAUGGAAGGAAGUGACGUAGGAUCAGGAAGUGAGCUGGACAUAGAGGAUGAAUGUAUUGGCGGGGAGAAAGGAGGUAAAAAUGGAAAUUGGAACAUAGUAGAAAAUCGGAAAAGGAAAAAAAAAUGGAAUCAACUUUCUGGUUCGGAAAGUGAAAGGGAAAGACAACAGGAGAAAAGGAAAAAGGAAGAGUUUAAGGUAAUGAUACAUUUCUUGUCCGAUAAUAUGAAUGCAUUGAACCCACUGAAAAUAACUAAAGCGAUCAAAGAAGAGAUCGGGAAAAUCGAACAUGCGAAAAUGUUACGGAAUGGAAAGUUGCUACUUUUUUGUAAAGAUAGCAGACAACAAAAACAGGUACUAGGCUUAAAGACAUUAGCAGGGAAAAAAAUUUCGUGUACACUGUUGGAAGAGAAGAAAUGGAUGAAGGGAGUAAUAACAGGGGUCCCAACAGAUGUAUCAGAAGACACAAUCAAGAGAAGUUUAUCAGGAGCAAAAGUGGUAGGGGUCAAACGUCUGAAAUAUGUUAGAGAUAAAGAAAAGCUGGAUAGCUUAUCUGUAAUGGUGCAGUUUGAUGAGGAAAGAUUACCAGAAAGAGUAUUCUUUGGGUUUAUAAGCUAUGCUGUUAGACAGUAUGUUCCUCCUCCGCUUAG